rnacentral:rRNA from 1 species
AACGAACGCUGGCGGCAGGCUUAACACAUGCAAGUCGAACGAUCCUUCGGGAUAGUGGCAGACGGGUGAGUAACGCGUGGGAACCUUCCCUAUGGUACGGAAUAGCUCCGGGAAACUGGAAUUAAUACCGUAUAAGCCCUUCGGGGGAAAGAUUUAUCGCCAUAGGAUGGGCCCGCGUCGGAUUAGCUAGUUGGUGAGGUAAAAGCUCACCAAGGCGACGAUCCGUAGCUGGUCUGAGAGGAUGAUCAGCCACACUGGGACUGAGACACGGCCCAGACUCCUACGGGAGGCAGCAGUGAGGAAUCUUGGACAAUGGGGCAACCCUGAUCCAGCCAUGCCGCGUGAGGGAAGAAGGCCUUAGGGUUGUAAAUCUCUUUCAGCGGGGAAGAUAAUGACGGUACCGCAGAAGAAGCUCCGGCUAACUCCGUGCCAGCCGCCGCGGUAAU